UACGGAGGUGGCAAGCGUUGUUCGGAAUUACUGGGCGUAAAGGGCGCGUAGGCGGCAUGGCAAGUCAGGUGUGAAAGCCCCGGGCUCAACUCGGGAACUGCAUCUGAAACUGCUGUGCUUGAGUCCUGGAGGGGGUAGUGGAAUUCCCAGUGUAGCGGUGAAAUGCGUAGAUAUUGGGAGGAACACCGGUGGCGAAGGCGGCUACCUGGACAGUGACUGACGCUGAGGCGCGAAAGCUAGGGGAGCGAACGGG
rnacentral:rRNA from 1 species